GGGUGACCUUCAAAACCAAAACAUACUUCGUGAAACCCUAUCACCAUCGAAGCCGUUCGCUUUCAUCACCAUCUUCGUUAACCCAUCCGACCAGAGCUUCAUCCUUUCACCGAUGAAACCCUAUCACCACGUGAAACCCCUUUUCUCAAACGCUUCACCAUCGAUUCAUCUCUACUACGUUCAUCCAUCACCAACUUCCAGCCUUUGAAAUUAAACAAACACACACAUUCAGAAUAAGAAUAAGAAGAAGUUGAGGUGAAGAGCAAGCAUAAAGAUAACAAGAUAAGAACCGGACCGGAAUCACUUCGAUUGCAUUUAUUUGAAGUUGUUGAUCGAAGAGCGAAGCUGGCUGCCAGGGACAUAGCGGAAGAACAAUCUGAUUCCAAGUCUCCAGGAAAAUAAGAAGCGGUUAUUUUUCCUAGUUAAAUGAUUGUACCCGUGGGUUCAACGCUUUUGGUUCUUGAAGUGUGGUUACUACUUGGUGCUGUUUUUGUUGUCGUUUCUUUUUUUAGGUGUUUUAUUUUGAUAAUAUGACUUUGUGUUUUAGGAUUUAGAUUAAAUUACUCUUAGAUGGAAUGCAUGCAUUUACAAAUUUGGCUAUGCAAAUGCCCUCUUUUUUUUAAGCACAGUAAAUACUCUCUAUAUGUUAUGAUAUUUGUAAACAAGAGGAUUUGGUUUAAUAUGUUAUUUGGUAUUGAUGGAUCAUAAUAUGUAUGCAAUGAGUAACUUAAAGUGUUAUUUGGUAUUGAAUUAAAUGUAUAUUUUUGAUAUUUGCACACCAAUAGAAUGAUUUUAUGUAAAAAAAAAAAAAAAAAAAAAGUGUACCAUAUAUUAGCGCUUUCUUUGAAAGUGCUAUCAAACAUGGGUCAUAUAUUAGCGCUUUGUUUUAAAGUGCUAUCAAACAAGAGUCAUAUAUUAGCGCUUUCUUUAAAAGUGCUAUCAAACAUGAAUUAUAUAUAUUAGCGCUUUGUUUGAAAACGCUAUUAAACAUGUGCCCUUUAAUAGCACUUAGUUUGAAAGUGCUAUUAAAAUCAUAUCAAAACACACACAAAAUGCAUACUUCAAUAGCGCUUUAGAAAAAAACGCUAUUAAAAACUGGUACUUUAAUAGCGUUUUUAAAGUGCUAUUAAACAAAAAACGUUAACAAUAGCGGCGCGGUUAAUAGCACUUUUAAGCGCUAUCAAAAACAAAAAAAAAUGCUAUUAAAUAGCUUAUUUGGCGUAGUGAAUUAAUCAUCACACUUCUUGUUAUGUUUUCCAUAUAGCUAUACAAAAUAUUUUACCAUUUCUUUUAAGUAAUUUCAAUGCAAAGAAUGUUUUUUGAUUUAGUGCUCUUAGGAUACUUGGGGGCCUUUUCAAUAAACUCAACUCAUUGAUAUAACUAUUUUCUUUAUAUCCUAGAGGAUCCUAAUUUUAUGUGGAAAAAGAAAUCCUUUAUUAGAGGAUGUUCAACAUAUUCUAAAUAUUAGUUGUGUCCUAAUGUUUCAAUCUAGUUUCCUAAUGUCUAGUGUUCAUAUGUUUAUUAUUAAAUUACUAUAGACUUACUUAAACAUGAGACUAAGGAAAGUGAAUAGUUGUUGAGAGAAGUUAGAGACAGAUGAGUAAUGUUUCACCCUUGCUGGUUCCUUGUGAGACAACACAACAGUGUCUCAUUAAUUUGGACAACAGGACAUAAACAACAUCACCUCCUUUCUGGUUGGGAAAACAUUCAAUUCAAUAAUUUAAUGAGUUCAUUCGUUUAGGCCAUAAGUUGAGGAUAUUGUCCCUAGAUUAUUGGACGGUUGCAACUGCAUGACUGUCUAGUUAAUAUAUGCCACCUCUCUUUCAUCCUUUCUGGUGGUUGGUUGUUAGUUGAUGUGGAAAAAUCACAUAGGCAUGGCUGGCUCUCUUCAUAGUACUAGAAACUACCAUGAAAUAGAUUAAGUGUUUCAUUACGGAAAAUAACUUUGAUUUUUUUUGUCAAUUAAAAACUUACAUAGUUUCAGAAUUUAAACUCUGAUGAUGAUAUUUUAUUUAAAUAUUGAUUUUUUAUUAAUUAAAUUAGGAUUUACGAACAAAUAAUUGUAAUUUUAAUAGUGAAAAUA